rnacentral:tRNA from 1 species
GGGGUUGUGGCUCAGUGUUAGAGCAUUUGCCUAGCAUGAGGGAGGCCCUGAGUUCUAUCCUCAGCACCACA